rnacentral:rRNA from 1 species
AGAAUCAACGCUGGCGGCGUGCCUAACACAUGCAAGUCGCACGAGAAAGGGGAGCAAUCCCUGAGUAAAGUGGCGCACGGGUGAGUAACACGUGAAUGAUCUACCUCCGAGUGGGGAAUAACUGAGAGAAAUCUUAGCUAAUACCGCAUAACACUUACGAGUCAAAGCAGCAAUGCGCUUGGAGAGGAGUUCGCGGCCGAUUAGUUAGUUGGCGGGUAAUGGCCCACAAGACUGUGAUCGGUA